GUGGGGAAUUUUGGACAAUGGGCGCAAGCCUGAUCCAGCAAUGCCGCGUGCAGGAAGAAGGCCUUCGGGUUGUAAACUGCUUUUGUACGGAACGAAACGGUCCUGGCUAAUAUCCGGGGCUAAUGACGGUACCGUAAGAAUAAGCACCGGCUAACUACGUGCCAGCAGCCGCGGUAAUACGUAGGGUGCGAGCGUUAAUCGGAAUUACUGGGCGUAAAGCGUGCGCAGGCGGUGCUGUAAGACAGGCGUGAAAUCCCCGGGCUCAACCUGGGAAUUGCGCUUGUGACUGCAGUGCUGGAGUACGGCAGAGGGGGAUGGAAUUCCGCGUGUAGCAGUGAAAUGCGUAGAUAUGCGGAGGAACACCGAUGGCGAAGGCAGUCCCCUGGGCCUGUACUGACGCUCAUGCACGAAAGCGUGGGGAGCAAACAGGAUUAGAUACCCGAGUAGUCC
rnacentral:rRNA from 1 species